CUACGGGAUGCUCCAGUGAGGAAUAUUGCACAAUGGGGGGAACCCUGAUGCAGCAACGCCGCGUGGAGGAUGACGCAUUUCGGUGUGUAAACUCCUUUUAUAUGUCAAGAAAAUGACGGUAGCAUAUGAAUAAGCACCGGCUAACUCCGUGCCAGCAGCCGCGGUAAUACGGAGGGUGCGAGCGUUACUCGGAAUCACUUGGCGUAAAGGACGCGUAGGCGGGUUGGAAAGUCAGGUGUGAAAUCCUACAGCUUAACUGUAGAACUGCACUUGAAACUUCUAAUCUAGAGUAUGGGAGGGGGAGAUGGAAUUAGUGGUGUAGGGGUAAAAUCCGUAGAUAUCACUAGGAAUACCUAAAGCGAAGGCGAUCUCCUGGAACAUUACUGACGCUAAGGCGUGAAAGCGUGGGGAGCAAACAGGAUUAGAUACCCUAGUAGUC
rnacentral:rRNA from 1 species